GAUGAACGCUGGCGGUGUGCCUUAAGCAUGCAAGUCGAGCGGAAUUUGUAGCAAUACAAGUUCAGCGGCAGACGGGUGAGUAACACGUAGGAAUCUACCGUAAAGUGGGGAAUAGCCAUCCGAAAGGAUGGGUAAUACCGCAUGUGGUCGUAAGACUAAAGUCGCAAGACGCUUUAUGAGGAGCCUGCGUCCUAUCAGCUAGUUGGCGGGGUAAAAGCCCACCAAGGCUACGACGGGUAGCCGAUGUGAGAGCAUGAUCGGUCACAAGGUAACUGAGACACGGUGCCUACACCUACGGGUGGCAGCAACUGGGAAUCUUGCGCAAUGGGCGAAAGCCUGACGCAGCGACACCGCGUGUGGGAAGAAGGCCUUCGGGUUGUAAACCACUGUGGAGAGGGAACAAAAAAAUGAGGGUACCUCUCUAGAAAGUACUUGCUAACUACGUGCCAGAAGCCUCGGUAAUACGUAGAGUACAAGCGUUAUCCGGAUUUAUUGGGCGUAAAGCGUCUCGCAGGUGGAAAUGUGCGUGGUGGGUGUAAUCCUUGGGCUCAACUCAAGAACCGCUCAUCAUACGGCAUUUCUGGAGUUUGUUGGAGGGAACUGGAAUUCUUCAUGGAGGGGUGAAAUCCGUAGAUAUGAAGAGGAACGCCAAGGGCGAAGGCAAGUUCCUACGACAAUACUGACACUCAUGAACGACAGCUAGGGGAGCAAAAGGGAUUAGAGACCCCUGUAGUCCUAGCCGUAAACUUUGGACACUAGCUGGACCCAUUAUAUGGGUUUGGCGUAAGUUAACACGUUAAGUGUCCCGCCUGGGGAGUACGGCCGCAAGGCUAAAACUUAAAGGAAUUGACGGGGGAGCGCACAACCAGUGGAGCAUGUGGUUUAAUUCGAGACGAAGCGAAAGACCUUACCCAGGCUUGACAUGUACCUGCACGGUCUAGGAAACUAGUCCUUCUUCGAGAGUGGUACACAGGUGAUGCAUGGCUGUCGUCAGCUCGUGUCGUGAGAUGUCCACUUAAGUGUGGUAACGAGCGCAACCCCUACUGCAAGUUGUAUAUCUUGCGGGACUGCCUAUCAUCAAGAUGGGAGGAAGGAGGGGAUGACGUCAAGUCAGCACGUCCCUUACGUCUGGGGCAACACACAUCCUACAAUGGCAUGAACAACGGGUCGCGACGGGGUAACCCUGAGCUAAUCCUUAUAAAUCAUGCCUCAGUUCAGAUCGAGGUCUGCAACCCGACCUCGUGAAGCCGGAAUUGGUAGUAAUCGCAAAUCAGCAGGUUGCGGUGAAUACGUUCUCGCUCCUUGUACACACUGCCCGUCAAAUGAGCAAAGUUGGCAACGCCCGAAGCGGAUGAUCCCAACUCGUAAGAGAGGGACGCCACUACGGCGAGGUCAGCGAUGAGCGUU
rnacentral:rRNA from 1 species